AUUGAACGCUGGCGGCAUGCUUUACACAUGCAAGUCGAACGGCAGCGGGGUAGUGCUUGCACUACUGCCGGCGAGUGGCGAACGGGUGAGUAAUAUAUCGGAACGUACCGAGUAAUGGGGGAUAACCAAUCGAAAGAUUGGCUAAUACCGCAUACGUCCUGAGGGAGAAAGCGGGGGAUCGCAAGACCUCGCGUUAUUCGAGCGGCCGAUAACUGAUUAGCUAGUUGGUGGGGUAAAGGCCUACCAAGGCGACGAUCAGUAGCGGGUCUGAGAGGACGAUCCGCCACACUGGGACUGAGACACGGCCCAGACUCCUACGGGAGGCAGCAGUGGGGAAUUUUGGACAAUGGGGGCAACCCUGAUCCAGCCAUGCCGCGUGUAUGAAGAAGGCCUUCGGGUUGUAAAGUACUUUUGUUAGGGAAGAAAAGGGAAGUGCUAAUACCACUUUUUGCUGAUGGUACCUAAAGAAUAAGCACCGGCUAACUACGUG
rnacentral:rRNA from 1 species